rnacentral:rRNA from 1 species
CCUACGGGUGGCAGCAGUGGGGAAUAUUGGGCAAUGGACGCAAGUCUGACCCAGCAACGCCGCGUGAAGGAAGAAGGCUUUCGGGUUGUAAACUUCUUUUAAGGGGGAAGAGCAGAAGACGGUACCCCUUGAAUAAGCCACGGCUAACUACGUGCCAGCAGCCGCGGUAAUACGUAGGUGGCAAGCGUUAUCCGGAUUUACUGGGUGUAAAGGGCGUGUAGGCGGGAGAGCAAGUCAGACGUGAAAUUCCAGGGCUCAACCCUGGAACUGCGUUUGAAACUGUUCUUCUUGAGUGAUGGAGAGGCAGGCGGAAUUCCGUGUGUAGCGGUGAAAUGCGUAGAUAUACGGAGGAACACCAGUGGCGAAGGCGGCCUGCUGGACAUUAACUGACGCUGAGGCGCGAAAGCGUGGGGAGCAAACAGGAUUAGAUACCCGGGUAGUC